rnacentral:sRNA from 1 species
CAGCCAUGGUUUAUUUUCCCAUAGGCUCUUCCCAACAAAAGAGCUUGAACAAUGCUGCAUUUGCCUCAGGUUCAAAUGAGCGAGAGGAACAUUUGGCUAAAAUAUUUGGAACCAGCGUUGCUUGGAAUUCUCCUAAACCAGAAUAUUUCCUUGGCAGUGUGGACAAAAUUCCUGAUAAAGAGAUGGGGUUUCACUGUGUUAGCCAGGAUGGUCUCGAUCUCCUGACCUCAUGAUCCGCCCGCCUCGGCCUCCCAAAGUGCUGGGAUUACAGGCGUGAACCACCAUGCCCGGCCCAGAAUGUCCUUUCUUUUCGAAGCCGAGUAAUAUUCCAUUAUCACCUUUCAGAGGAGAAGAAUUUUAAAGAAUCCUGUCUGUUCCACAGGGAUUUAAGAGAGCAGUUAACUACUGUAGAUAAAGAAACACUUCAAGGAGCAGCUAAACCAGAUCUCCUCUGGCAAACACGACAUAUAAUAUUUUUAUGAUGGAUGGAAAGACAUGGUGGCACAAUUCUGAAGAAAAAAAUUUCACAAAACAUGCAAAGAAACAGAAACAGUUGAAGAGCAGCUCCUGUGUCUAAGCCAGGUCCUGGGGCCAUCAAACCAGGACUUGAAACCACAAUGCGAGGACAUUCUCCAUCUGCGCACCACAGGGAGGCAAUUCCAUUUCUGCCCGGGAGGUGUAUUCUACAAAAACGUCUGCUUCCCAUCCCAAUUUGAAUGGACCAAGAAAAACUGCUUUACCAUAGGACACUUGUGGCAAUAUGGCACCAAUGGCUGGCGUCGGCGAACCCGACAGACUAU